AUACACGCUGGCGGCGUGCCUAAUCCAUGCAAGUCGCGCGAACAGACGAGGAGCUUGCUCCUCUGACGUUAGCGGCGGACGGGUGAGUAACACGUGGAUAACCUACCUAUAAGACUGGGAUAACUUCGGGAAACCGGAGCUAAUACCGGAUAAUAUAUUGAACCGCAUGGUUCAAUAGUGAAAGACGGUUUUGCUGUCACUUAUAGAUGGAUCCGCGCCGCAUUAGCUAGUUGGUAAGGUAACGGCUUACCAAGGCGACGAUGCGUAGCCGACCUGAGAGGGUGAUCGGCCACACUGGAACUGAGACACGGUCCAGACUCCUACGGGAGGCAGCAGUAGGGAAUCUUCCGCAAUGGGCGAAAGCCUGACGGAGCAACGCCGCGUGAGUGAUGAAGGUCUUCGGAUCGUAAAACUCUGUUAUUAGGGAAGAACAAAUGUGUAAGUAACUAUGCACGUCUUGACGGUACCUAAUCAGAAAGCCACGGCUAACUACGUG
rnacentral:rRNA from 1 species